rnacentral:rRNA from 1 species
UACGUAGGGUGCGAGCGUUGUCCGGAAUUACUGGGCGUAAAGAGCUCGUAGGUGGUUUGUCGCGUUGUUCGUGAAAACUCACAGCUUAACUGUGGGCGUGCGGGCGAUACGGGCAGACUGGAGUACUGCAGGGGAGACUGGAAUUCCUGGUGUAGCGGUGGAAUGCGCAGAUAUCAGGAGGAACACCUAUAGCGAAGGCAGCUUGCUGGGACGUUACUGACGCUAAGGCGCGAAAGCGUGGGGAGCGAACAGG